GUCUUUAAGAUUUUAUUAAUUUAAAGUCUAAUCUGCCCAAUGAAUAAUUUAAAUGGCUGCAUAUUUGACCUGCACAAAGGUAGCAUAAUAAUUUGUUUUUUAAUUAAAAACUAGAAUGAAAGAUUUAAUGAAAUAUAAACUAUUUCAAAUUAAUUAAUAUUAAAUUUUUUAUUUAAGUAAAAAAACUUAAAUAAUUUUUAAAGACGACAAGACCCUAUAGAAUUUUAUUUAUUUUCAUUUUAAAUUUAAUUUAAAUAAAUUUAAUUGGGGUAAUAAAAAAAUUUAAUUAAUUUUUUCUAAAUAAAACAUUAAUAAAUGACUAUUUUAUCUUUCUUAAAAAUUAAAAAAAUUAAUUACCUUAGGGAUAACAGCAUAAUUUUUUUUUAAAGCCCAAAUUAACAAAAAAGAUUAU
rnacentral:rRNA from 1 species